AGAAAGCACUUAGAGGCAUCAAAGCGGAGGUUACUCACACAGGAAAUGUACGGAGGAAAUACUGAGUAUCAGGAUUGUCAGCACAACCUACCAGGGAGCUAAUUUUCAUAUUCCCUGUUGAUGAGCAAAUGAAUAUGAAGUUUGUGGUUGAGUACUUCCGGGAGGUGUAUGGAUUUUUCCAUAUAAUACACCCACUUCCCUUGUCUUCAAGUAGGGAGUCAAAAGAAAGUGAAUUAUUUUCCCAUUGAGGCAUGAUAAAUAGUUGGAGGACAAAGAUAUACAAAGAGAUUGAAUGAUAAGCAAAUAACUUCUUUACUCAAAGUUACAUGUAGGCGAC